rnacentral:rRNA from 1 species
UACGAAGGGGGCUAGCGUUGCUCGGAAUCACUGGGCGUAAAGCGCACGUAGGCGGAUUGUUAAGUCAGGGGUGAAAUCCUGGAGCUCAACUCCAGAACUGCCUUUGAUACUGGCGAUCUCGAGUCCGGGAGAGGUGAGUGGAACUGCGAGUGUAGAGGUGAAAUUCGUAGAUAUUCGCAAGAACACCAGUGGCGAAGGCGGCGACCUGGGCCAAUAUUGACGCUGAGGUGCGAAAGCGUGGGGAGCAAACAGG